GUGUUAGAGGCUCAGUUGGUAGAACAUUGCGCUAACAACGCAAAGGUUGUGGGUUCAAUCCCAGGGAAAGCA